UGGAAUUUUCUAUUGAGUUUUUCAACCAUUAAAAAUAAAAAAACCAGGCUUAGCUCACAGGCCAUACAAAAACAGGCGGUGGCCUGGAUUUGGCCCACGGGCCGUGAUUUGAGACCCCUGGUCUAUGGCAACAAAAAGUAAGCAAACUAGAGCUGCAUCGUUGACUAAAACUAACCAGCUGCCGUCGUGAUUUUCUGACUCACGGCGACCCCAUGUGUGUCAGAGUAAAACUGUGCUCCACAGAGUUUUCCAUGGCUGAAUUUUCAGAAAUAUUGACCGCCAGGCCUUUCGUCCAAGGUGCCUCAGGGUGACCUCCAAUCGUCAGCUGAGGGCAUUAACCGUUUGCACCUCCCAGGGACUCCCACCAUCAACUAGAUACAUCUUAAAAGAGCUAAUGUUUCAUGAAAGAAGCAGGUCGCAAGAGAAUACAUACAGUGUCAUUCAGACUAUAUAAAGUUCAAAACCCGGCAAAACUAGUCUGUAUAGUUUAGGGAUAAGUAAUAAAUGAUGAAACUAAAAAGACAUGCCAGGAAGCUAGUGUCCUAAAAGUCAGAAGGGUGGUCCCUCUGAGGGGAGGAAGGGCUGUCUUUGGCGUGAGGGAAGGCGGCUCUGUGGCACUGGCAAGUUUCUCUUUCUGACCCAGGUGGUGGUUCCACAGACUUUGUUUUAUAGUAUUUAUUACACAACACUGUACUUUUCUGUGUCUGUAUUAUAUCUCACGCCACCAUCCGUCUGUGAGUUUGUUGUACUGUGGUGGCUUGCCCGUUAUUGUGACGCUGGAAGCUAUGUCACCAUAUUCCAAAUAUCAGCAGGGUCACCCAUGGUAGACAGGUUUCAGCAGAGUGUCUAGACUAAGACAGAGUAGGAAGAAAGGCCUGGCCAUCUACUUCCGAAGAUGAGCCGAGGAAAACAGAACAUUAUCUAAUUUGUUUGCUUUGGACAGGUCACAUCAUCAGGAGGGAUCAGUCACUAGAAGAUGACAUGGUGUUUGGUGAAGGAAGGCCAGCGAGGGCGGGGGAGACCCUUGUUGAGAUGCACUGGUACCAUAGAUGUAAUGAUGGUCUCAGACAUGCUGGCGAUCAUGAAGAUGACUCAAGACUGGGCAACACUUUGUUCCGUUGUACAAGGAUCGCUAUGAGCCGGAGCCGACUUGAUGGCCCUAUCUAUUUCUCUACCUUUUAUAUCUCACAAUUAGAAAAGAGAAAGCAAUGAUGAUAUAACCUAUCGGACCAGCGCCUGAACCCCUACCUGACAGGUAUUUAUAAUCCACUCAGAAAGGUUUCAUACCCCACUGCUUGGUCCAUCAGAACCUCUCACUGUCCACUCCCCGCUCUGUUUUCCUGCCUUCCACCGUUAUUCAUGCUGGACCUGCCCGUACCCUCCAGCUCUGGCCUCCUCCCCUGAGCACCUAGCUAGCUCUUUACCAGGACUAGGCAAAGAUGAAAAGCAGGGGCCGAUGGUGACAGAGGCCGGAGCUGCAGAAGAGAGGCAGGAAAAGGCAGUGGCUGUUGACUGUCCUUAAGGUGACAAAGGAAGCAGUGAGUGGCACCUGAGCCCAGAGAAGCGGGGAGGGCAAGCCAACCUGGUCAGUAACUUACCCCCAGCCAUGUUCUGGGCCAAGUCUCAUGGUCUCCAUGAGACUGAGAGUGGGGCUGUGGCCUGUUCCCUCCCUGUCCCCCCAAUGCCUAGAGCUGGUCCUCCCCUAGGAUAUCUGAGAAAUAAAUACAGCCAAGAGGCUGGAAAGGCCCAGAAGAGAAAGGGAACUGACGUUUGAUGAGGGAACUGAGGCUCAGAAAGGUUAUGUAACUUGCCCAAGGUCACACAGCAUUCAAGAGAAGGAGGCUGGACUCAAACUCAGGUCUGUCUGGUCCCAAAGCCCUUGGGAGUGACUGAGGCCUGGUGGAAGUAGGGUGAGACAGGUGCCGUGGGCUUGGAUGGCUUGCCUAUUAUGGGAGAGCAGCUGCCCAUGAGACUAUCAGUGCCUUUGGGACCUCUGAAAAAAGUGGAGUUUGUAGAGAGCUCAGGAGACCAGGAGAAGGAGAAGGAGGAGGAGGGCUGGGAGCAAGCGAGGUCCUGGGGCUCAAUCCCAGAGUGGGCUGGAGAACAGCAGAAAGUACGGGGUGACUCCAAAGGAGAGCCAGUGGGUGUUGUCAAGGUUCAGAGCAGAUCUGAGCAAAUUUCACAUUUUGAUUGGCUUUACUAGGCUGGCAGGUGGCUGAUAUUCAUUGAGCACUAAGCACAGAGCCAGCACUACGUCCUCAGGAUGUCCUGCGAGGCAGGCAUUGUCAUUGUAGCCAUUGAAUAGAUGAGGCAAUUGAGGCACAGCUACAUUAAGUGACAUGCCCAGGGCCCCAAGGUGAGCAACAGAGCUCAGAUUCAAGCCCAGGCUGAACGCUCCUGGCCUGCACCCUUAACCCCAGAUCAUACAUGGUUCAGGGACACCACACAGACACGGUGACCCUGGACCUCAGUGAGGACUCUGCCUCUGAGAUUCCCUGCGGACACAGCUCAGAGCAACAGUUGUGUCUGGUGCUGGCAGGCGGAGAGGACGUGGCUGCACCACGGCUGAUGAUGGCUGAAGUCGGGGGGGGGGGGUUUGGAGGCUGUGGAGGAAGUGGGAUUCCUGCCAUUAAACCCCUGGAAGCUCAGGGAAAGGAGAAUGGGGGAGGGGCACGCAGCGACAGAGAAACCAAGCCGGACCCCCACCCCCAGUAGGACCAGGAAAUAAAGGGGCCUGCCUGCCGCUCUGCAGGGUUCCAUGAGACCCAUGUGGGUUUUCACCUCUUAUGAAAGAGCCCAAGGAACUUCUCUUUUGUAAAACCACUUUCGGCAAUAGGGGAAAAGGUUGUUUCUCUCUGCAGUGGAGACUGUUACAAAAUAGCUUUUGGGCUGCCGGCGCCCCACAAAGCCUCUUCUCCUUAGUUUCUGGCAAAGGCAGGUUAACUAAUAAGCAAAGUAAGCACCGGCUUACUUGUGCUUACUUACUAAUCCAUAAUGAACAAUUUCAAGUGGGUUUCACAUCUUUGAUUUGAUGGAAAGCGUGUGAAACUGUUCACUACAGGUUGGUGAGUAAGCACAAGUAAGCCCGUGCUUACCUUGCUUGCUGUACCCCAUUCCCUGUCAGGGACUGUACAUUUGAGGAGGUUUUGGUUUUGUAGGAAGAUGCUGUGGGAUUGGGAGAGAGACAGAUGCCAGCCUAGAAGCAAGAUCUUUGAGGUGGUGAAAAAAAUGUGAAAUUGUUCGGGAUCACAGAUGAACGAGGAGAGCCAUUUCCCACCACCUCCAGGAGGGCCCAGGCUGGUGCGGGACGCCCACCAGGUGAGGAAGACAGAUGAGCAGAAGACAGUCCCAUUGUCGUGGGAGCAAGGGGACCGUGGUAUUGACUGUUGAUCCAUCACUAUGAUGCAUGAUCACACGUGUCACAGAUAAUCUGCUUCACGCUGUGCCCGAGAUCCUGGGGUGCGGGCUGUCUAAGCGCGAUGCCGUGGUGAUAGACGUCACAUUAGCGCUCACACUCCCAGGGAGCCCUGCGAAGGCAUCGGCCUGUGCUGCCGUGCAGCUCUUUAUGGCUUGGUGUCGGGACGAGGCAGAGGUGCCAGGCAAUGCUGGCACUGCCUUCGCUUCAGCCCCAGGUGCCAGCUCUUUGCUGCUCGCCUGCCUGCCCUGGUGCUGCCCUGCCUCAUGGACAAAGACCUCCAGGUCCCCCCACCCUGUCGUGCUCUUCAUGCUCCAGCCCUGCACUCCUGGAGCCCCCAGCCUCCUGUACACCUGGAACUCGGACUUUUGGCUGCCGAGUCUCCUGUUGGCUUCACUCAUCUUAGCAUGUCCUAUGGCUAGCACAGAGCUGCCAUGUGAUUUUCAGCCACAUCUGAGUUCAGCAGUUCCUGAAUCGGGCAUCAGACAUGAGAUGUCUUCAGAGUGGAAAGGCUUCUGCUGGAGGACAGUUCAUUUGGAAGUUAGAAACUUCCGCCCUCACUGGACCUAGAAACCCUUCUGCACCAAAGGCCAGCAACACUGAAGAGAGGGUGCCAGAAAUCUCCGCGGGACAGGCCGACUGACAAUAACCACUGUCCAUCCUUUGUGGGGAUAGAAAACAAGGAUGGAAAAUGUAAUUAAUGUCACUAAGUUGUACCCGUGAAAAUGUUAAAUCAGCAAAUGUUGUGUUAUAUAUAUUGAUACAACAAUUUUUAAAAAUUAAAAUGAAAAAUCAGCCAAGUUGAGAUCUUUGGAUUCUGCUCCUUGAUUUUUCCAGCAGGUCACAGUGGACUGGGAGGGUCCCCAGGGCCCUGGAUGCCUUAAGAUUUCACUGACCCCGGAGUCUCUUCCCCAGGACACCCCACCCCCGCUAUGGCCAAAGGAAAGGGUUUCAGGCCUUUUUCGCCUGACUUGAGCGAAAGUACCCAGAAGCGGCUUCCCUGCCUGGCUGGGAGCCCACGCCUGAGUCACCAGCGCCCUGGGCUGCACUGGCCAUAGCUUUUCCUUCCUGUCCUCCCCAGGCUGCUGGCCUUUGCGUCAGCACCUUCUGGAAGAUGAGACAUGUACAGUAGGAAGCAGUUGUCCCUGAGCUGCCCACAUGGGACUCAUGAGAUGCAGCUGACGUCGGCGUGGGCAGGCGGCCCUUUGUCACUCAGCCCAGGGCCUGGGGCCAGGCAGGGUCCUCCUCACUCCACAGCCUGCCACCUCCUCUGGCCCUACCACCCUCCGGGUGGUGGAUAAGGUGGACGCAAGGAGGGAAAGGAGGCCUGAGCUAGAUGGUUCGCUUGCACCCGUCUUCUUGGUCACCUUGCGAGGCAGGCUGUUUUUUUAUUUUUUAUUGUGCUUUAAAUGAAAGUUUACAGUUCAAGUUAGUUUCUCAUACAAAAAUUCAUACACACAUUGUUAUGUGACCGUAGUUGCUCUCCCUUUAAUGUGAGAGCACACUCCUCCUUUCUAUCCCGGAUUUCCCAUGUCCAUUCAACCAACUCCUGUCCCUUUCUGCCUUCUUAUCCUGCCUCUGGACAGCAGCUGCCCAUUUAGUCUCAUGUAUCUACUUGAGCCUUAUUCAUUGUCCAGCUGGAAUUGAUGCCUUUGAAUUGUGGUGUUGGCGAAGAAUAUUGAAUAUACCAUGGACUGCCAAAAGAACGAACAAAUCUAUCUUGGAAGGGGUACAGCCAGAGUGCUCCUUAGAGGCAAGGAUGGCGAGACUGCGUCUUCCAUACUUUGGACAUGUUGUCAGGAGGGAUCAGUCCCUGGAGAAGGACAUAAUGCUUGGCAGAGUACAGGGUCAGUGGAAAAGAGGAAGACCCUCAACGAGGUGGAUUGACACAGUGGCUGCAACAAUGGGGUGAAGCAUAACAACGAUUGUAAGGAUGGCACAGGACCAGGCAGUGUUUCGUUCUGUUGUGCACAGGGUCGCUAUGAGUCGGAACCGACUGGACGGCACCUAACAACAACAUCAUCUGCUUGAGCUAAGAAGCACUCUCUUCAUAAGUAUCAUUUCAUGUCUUAUAGUCCAGUCUAAUCUUUGAAGAGUUGGUUUCGGGAAUGGUUUUAGUUUGGGGCUAACAGAAAGGCCGGGGCCAUGUCUCCUGGGGUCCCUCCAGACUCAGUCAGACCAUUAAGUCUGGUCUUUUUACUAGAAUUUGAGCUCUGCACCCCACUUUUCUCCUGCUCUGUCAGGGACUCUCUGUUGUGUUUUCUGUCGGGGCGGUCACUGGUGGUAGCCGGGCACCAUCUAGCUCUUCUGGUCUCAGGCUGAUGGAGUCUCUGGUUUCUGUGGCCCUUUCUGUCUCUUGCGCUCCUAUUUUCAUCAUGUCUGUGGGGUUCUUCAUUCUUCUUUGCUCUGGCAGGCUCUUUUUUAUUCCCAUUUUCCAAAUGAGGAAACUGAGUUCAGAGACGGGAACUCGCUUUUCUAAGGUCACACAGCCUUCCUGGUGGGUUAACCCUUGGGGGCGUCUAUGUGCCCUGGUAGACUGUGAGCUUUCUGCAGUCCUUCCCCUUCCUGCAGUCCCGCACCUCCUCCACCUGCAGCAGCCAUCCCUAUCCCAGGUGGGGCACCUCCAUCUUUCCAGGCAUCAGGCUGCACAGGGCUCCACCUGUGUGCCUCGAAUGGGUGAAUGAGGAAUGGGAAGCAGGAGGGGAAUCUGUGUGGGAGGCCCUGUCCCUUAAUACACAGGUGAAAGGCACCUCAGGACAUUCGGAUCAAAUCGCUGCCAGUGGAAUAGGACUUAGGUUACAGACUUGUAGGAAGUGGGUGUCGGAGUCUGGGAAGGUAGAAUUCGGCCUUGGGCAGGAGAGAGCUGGCUGACAAGUGAAUUAUAAAGCCAUAGAGAAGGUGGCCUCAGAAAACCUCCCCCUUUCCCGUCAGUUCCACUGUGUUGAAGGGAUGCCCCAGGCCCCCCUGUGUUGAGCUCUGAGAACAGGUGAGAAACAAAGACCCCUCCCAGGACCUCUGCCUACCCUCCCUGGGUGUCGGCACCCGCCAUUUCACAGCCCUUUCUGCCAGGUGCGGAAGAGGGGGCCACAGGGACAAAAGGCAACAGCUGUGGUGAGGCUGCAGUGGGCCAGGUAGGAAGGGCAGGAGUGAGGAGGCCUUGGCUGCGGUGGGGACAGGUGAGUUGGGGCAGGAGGGGGUGGAGGGAGAAGAGCCAGAGUGACAUCCUGGGAGAGGAGUAAGGGGAGGAUGGAGAAGUGGGUGGGGGGAUGGGAGGACCCGGUGGAGGAGGGGCUUCCUGGGGCUUCCUUGUCCAGGGCCACCCAGGCCUGAACUCCCUGCCCUAGAGCCUCACCCCUUCUCCUCCCUCUCUCCUCUGUUGCUCUGUCAGUCCCCUCCCCUCCCAUCUGCAUGUAUUCCACCAGUGACAGGAAGCUCUCAACCUCAGCAGGCAGCCCUGCCCUGAUGGACAGUUUCCUCAGAGCUGGAGCUUUCUCCGGCUUUAACCUCAGGCCCUUCUCCCCAGACCCCCGAGCCUGUAUCUUUCCUGACACACAAGGCCUCCCUUCCUGCUGACAGGUGAAGAUAGGUGUGGAUAAACAGCCCCUUCUCCAGACAUCCCUGGUCCUGCCCAUCCCCCCAACAUGGCUUCUAGAGCCUUCCCCACGGAAGGCUCCUCCACCUAUCUCCCCUGGUGCCCAGAAAGGGCCUGACCCGGGCAGAGGCCACUGAGACUAUGGUCCCCUCUCUCCUUCUGGACAGAUGCCCCUGGAGAGUCAGUCCCCUAGCUCCUUGAGUCCCCCAUCGCCUCCAACCAGCCCCAGGUUAACCCUCUGCUGUCCAGGAAGCCUCUCUUUCCCCAGGGGUGUGCUGCUGAGCACUUCCCACACUGUGUGGCCCUUCCCUCCCCAUAGACACUGUUCCCUUCCUCCUUUCCUCUGUCCCACCCUUAUCCCAGUCCCUUUCCUCAUCAGCUGAAAUAGUCCUUUUGAUUUAGAAAAAGAAUGAGUGGGGGCCAGGAUGCACUCUGGGUGAGCAAGCUCAGCGUUUAGGCAAGGACAACACGGUCAC